rnacentral:miRNA from 1 species
CAGGGAGCAGACCAGUCCAGU